rnacentral:rRNA from 1 species
CUCAGGAUGAACGCUAGCUACAGGCUUAACACAUGCAAGUCGAGGGGCAGCAUGGUCUUAGCUUGCUAAGGCCGAUGGCGACCGGCGCACGGGUGAGUAACACGUAUCCAACCUGCCGUCUACUCUUGGACAGCCUUCUGAAAGGAAGAUUAAUACAAGAUGGCAUCAUGAGUCCGCAUGUUCGCAUGAUUAAAGGUAUUCCGGUAGACGAUGGGGAUGCGUUCCAUUAGAUAGUAGGCGGGGUAACGGCCCACCUAGUCUUCGAUGGAUAGGGGUUCUGAGAGGAAGGUCCCCCACAUUGGAACUGAGACACGGUCCAAACUCCUACGGGAGGCAGCAGUGAGGAAUAUUGGUCAAUGGGCGAGAGCCUGAACCAGCCAAGUAGCGUGAAGGAUGACUGCCCUAUGGGUUGUAAACUUCUUUUAUAAAGGAAUAAAGUCGGGUAUGCAUACCCGUUUGCAUGUACUUUAUGAAUAAGGAUCGGCUAACUCCGUGCCAGCAGCCGCGGUAAUACGGAGGAUCCGAGCGUUAUCCGGAUUUAUUGGGUUUAAAGGGAGCGUAGAUGGAUGUUUAAGUCAGUUGUGAAAGUUUGCGGCUCAACCGUAAAAUUGCAGUUGAUACUGGAUAUCUUGAGUGCAGUUGAGGCAGGCGGAAUUCGUGGUGUAGCGGUGAAAUGCUUAGAUAUCACGAAGAACUCCGAUUGCGAAGGCAGCCUGCUAAGCUGCAACUGACAUUGAGGCUCGAAAGUGUGGGUAUCAAACAGGAUUAGAUACCCUGGUAGUCCACACGGUAAACGAUGAAUACUCGCUGUUUGCGAUAUACAGCAAGCGGCCAAGCGAAAGCGUUAAGUAUUCCACCUGGGGAGUACGCCGGCAACGGUGAAACUCAAAGGAAUUGACGGGGGCCCGCACAAGCGGAGGAACAUGUGGUUUAAUUCGAUGAUACGCGAGGAACCUUACCCGGGCUUAAAUUGCAGAUGAAUUACGGUGAAAGCCGUAAGCCGCAAGGCAUCUGUGAAGGUGCUGCAUGGUUGUCGUCAGCUCGUGCCGUGAGGUGUCGGCUUAAGUGCCAUAACGAGCGCAACCCUUGUUGUCAGUUACUAACAGGUUCCGCUGAGGACUCUGACAAGACUGCCAUCGUAAGAUGUGAGGAAGGUGGGGAUGACGUCAAAUCAGCACGGCCCUUACGUCCGGGGCUACACACGUGUUACAAUGGGGGGGUACAGAGGGCCGUUACCACGCGAGUGGAUGCCAAUCCCAAAAACCUCUCUCAGUUCGGACUGGAGUCUGCAACCCGACUCCACGAAGCUGGAUUCGCUAGUAAUCGCGCAUCAGCCACGGCGCGGUGAAUACGUUCCCGGGCCUUGUACACACCGCCCGUCAAGCCAUGGGAGCCGGGGGUACCUGAAGUGCGUAACCGCGAGGAGCGCCCUAGGGUAAA